rnacentral:rRNA from 1 species
UUUAAGCGAGGAGGAGGCUACCGAGAUUAAUACUCUUGGAUAGUGGACGUUACUCGCAGAAUAAGCACCGGCUAACUCUGUGCCAGCAGCCGCGGUAAUACAGAGGGUGCAAGCGUUAAUCGGAUUUACUGGGCGUAAAGCGCGCGUAGGUGGCCAAUUAAGUCAAAUGUGAAAUCCCCGAGCUUAACUUGGGAAUUGCAUUCGAUACUGGUUGGCUAGAGUAUGGGAGAGGAUGGUAGAAUAAGGGCGAAUUCGUUUAAACCUGCAGGACUAG